rnacentral:rRNA from 1 species
ACUAAGCGUACACGGUGGAUGCCCUGGCAGUCAGAGGCGAUGAAGGACGUGCUAAUCUGCGAUAAGCGUCGGUAAGGUGAUAUGAACCGUUAUAACCGGCGAUUUCCGAAUGGGGAAACCCAGUGUGAUUCGUCACACUAUCAUUAACUGAAUCCAUAGGUUAAUGAGGCGAACCGGGGGAACUGAAACAUCUAAGUACCCCGAGGAAAAGAAAUCAACCGAGAUUCCCCCAGUAGCGGCGAGCGAACGGGGAGCAGCCCAGAGCCUGAAUCAGUGUGUGUGUUAGUGGAAGCGUCUGGAAAGGCGCGCGAUACAGGGUGACAGCCCCGUACACAAAAAUGCACAUGCUGUGAGCUCGAUGAGUAGGGCGGGACACGUGGUAUCCUGUCUGAAUAUGGGGGGACCAUCCUCCAAGGCUAAAUACUCCUGACUGACCGAUAGUGAACCAGUACCGUGAGGGAAAGGCGAAAAGAACCCCGGCGAGGGGAGUGAAAAAGAACCUGAAACCGUGUACGUACAAGCAGUGGGAGCACGCUUAGGCGUGUGACUGCGUACCUUUUGUAUAAUGGGUCAGCGACUUAUAUUCUGUAGCAAGGUUAACCGAAUAGGGGAGCCGAAGGGAAACCGAGUCUUAACUGGGCGUUAAGUUGCAGGGUAUAGACCCGAAACCCGGUGAUCUAGCCAUGGGCAGGUUGAAGGUUGGGUAACACUAACUGGAGGACCGAACCGACUAAUGUUGAAAAAUUAGCGGAUGACUUGUGGCUGGGGGUGAAAGGCCAAUCAAACCGGGAGAUAGCUGGUUCUCCCCGAAAGCUAUUUAGGUAGCGCCUCGUGAAUUCAUCUCCGGGGGUAGAGCACUGUUUCGGCAAGGGGGUCAUCCCGACUUACCAACCCGAUGCAAACUGCGAAUACCGGAGAAUGUUAUCACGGGAGACACACGGCGGGUGCUAACGUCCGUCGUGAAGAGGGAAACAACCCAGACCGCCAGCUAAGGUCCCAAAGUCAUGGUUAAGUGGGAAACGAUGUGGGAAGGCCCAGACAGCCAGGAUGUUGGCUUAGAAGCAGCCAUCAUUUAAAGAAAGCGUAAUAGCUCACUGGUCGAGUCGGCCUGCGCGGAAGAUGUAACGGGGCUAAACCAUGCACCGAAGCUGCGGCAGCGACGCUGAUGCGUUGUUGGGUAGGGGAGCGUUCUGUAAGCCUGUGAAGGUGUGCUGUGAGGCAUGCUGGAGGUAUCAGAAGUGCGAAUGCUGACAUAAGUAACGAUAAAGCGGGUGAAAAGCCCGCUCGCCGGAAGACCAAGGGUUCCUGUCCAACGUUAAUCGGGGCAGGGUGAGUCGACCCCUAAGGCGAGGCCGAAAGGCGUAGUCGAUGGGAAACAGGUUAAUAUUCCUGUACUUGGUGUUACUGCGAAGGGGGGACGGAGAAGGCUAUGUUGGCCGGGCGACGGUUGUCCCGGUUUAAGCGUGUAGGCUGGUUUUCCAGGCAAAUCCGGAAAAUCAAGGCUGAGGCGUGAUGACGAGGCACUACGGUGCUGAAGCAACAAAUGCCCUGCUUCCAGGAAAAGCCUCUAAGCAUCAGGUAACAUCAAAUCGUACCCCAAACCGACACAGGUGGUCAGGUAGAGAAUACCAAGGCGCUUGAGAGAACUCGGGUGAAGGAACUAGGCAAAAUGGUGCCGUAACUUCGGGAGAAGGCACGCUGAUAUGUAGGUGAAGCGACUUGCUCGUGGAGCUGAAAUCAGUCGAAGAUACCAGCUGGCUGCAACUGUUUAUUAAAAACACAGCACUGUGCAAACACGAAAGUGGACGUAUACGGUGUGACGCCUGCCCGGUGCCGGAAGGUUAAUUGAUGGGGUCAGCGCAAGCGAAGCUCUUGAUCGAAGCCCCGGUAAACGGCGGCCGUAACUAUAACGGUCCUAAGGUAGCGAAAUUCCUUGUCGGGUAAGUUCCGACCUGCACGAAUGGCGUAAUGAUGGCCAGGCUGUCUCCACCCGAGACUCAGUGAAAUUGAACUCGCUGUGAAGAUGCAGUGUACCCGCGGCAAGACGGAAAGACCCCGUGAACCUUUACUAUAGCUUGACACUGAACAUUGAGCCUUGAUGUGUAGGAUAGGUGGGAGGCUUUGAAGUGUGGACGCCAGUCUGCAUGGAGCCGGCCUUGAAAUACCACCCUUUAAUGUUUGAUGUUCUAACGUUGACCCGUGAUCCGGGUUGCGGACAGUGUCUGGUGGGUAGUUUGACUGGGGCGGUCUCCUCCUAAAGAGUAACGGAGGAGCACGAAGGUUGGCUAAUCCUGGUCGGACAUCAGGAGGUUAGUGCAAUGGCAUAAGCCAGCUUGACUGCGAGCGUGACGGCGCGAGCAGGUGCGAAAGCAGGUCAUAGUGAUCCGGUGGUUCUGAAUGGAAGGGCCAUCGCUCAACGGAUAAAAGGUACUCCGGGGAUAACAGGCUGAUACCGCCCAAGAGUUCAUAUCGACGGCGGUGUUUGGCACCUCGAUGUCGGCUCAUCACAUCCUGGGGCUGAAGUAGGUCCCAAGGGUAUGGCUGUUCGCCAUUUAAAGUGGUACGCGAGCUGGGUUUAGAACGUCGUGAGACAGUUCGGUCCCUAUCUGCCGUUGGCGCUGGAGAACUGAGGGGGGCUGCUCCUAGUACGAGAGGACCGGAGUGGACGCAUCACUGGUGUUCGGGUUGUCAUGCCAAUGGCACUGCCCGGUAGCUAAAUGCGGAAGAGAUAAGUGCUGAAAGCAUCUAAGCACGAAACUUGCCCCGAGAUGAGUUCUCCCUGACUCCUUGAGAGUCCUGAAGGAACGUUGAAGACGACGACGUUGAUAGGCCGGGUGUGUAAGCGCAGCGAUGCGUUGAGCUAACCGGUACUAAUGAACCGUGAGGCUUAACC